rnacentral:tRNA from 1 species
AAGAAUUUAAGUUAAUCAAACUAUUAACCUUCAAAGUUAAAAAUAGACAAUGUCUAAGUCUUA